ACUACUUGAUCUUAUCUGAGCGGAAGGCGGCCGCCUUACUCUCCUCUCCUUCGCCGCGGCCGGAAGCGGAGCGAGAGGUCUCCACGAGCUCGUUGCCCUCGCGGUGACUGUUCUCCGCGGGCUCUCGGUAGCGUCUCGUUGCUCCCCCGCUCUCGCCGCCGUGCCCCGUCGCGAGGGGAGGCGCGGCUUGCCCCGCGGUGACGACUGCCCGCGGUCGGAGCACCCCCUUAGGGCGUGCGAUGAUGCACACGCGGGCUCCCCCCUCCAACAACAACAACAACAACAAAAAAUCCUGAACUCGUUUUCUCUUUUCCUUUCCAGAAAUAAUUACUGCACUUUUUUUUCUCCCAAGCAUGUUCACUUUCCGAUCCCUUUCAACUUUGUUUUCUUUUAAAUGAUUUAAGUUCCGGUCUUGAUAUUUUCUUUAGAACAUUUUCCCGUUCUUUUAAAAUCGGAGUGGCUUGAGCCGAUUUGAUCGAUACCUAAUUAAGAUUUUGCUGUGGUACCGGAUUAUUUAUUUAUUUAUUUAUUUUGUGAAGGAGAAGAAAUUAGAUGACUUAACUUGAAAACGUCUAAUAGUAAUGGAUUUUGUUGUCUACUUGUCAAACAUUUGGUUCUGAUAGUGAUUAUUAUAGAUUCCCAUAGCUGACGCAGGUGAAGAUGGGGCUCUGAGAAUUGUUAAUCAUGUGUUGUGGAACUAUUCGAUGUGGUUUAGACGGGCCCAAAGGUGUGUCAUAUAAAUUACUAUAACUGUUUUUUUGGCAUUCCAUUGGUGAUAGAUCCGUUCCUCUUGACGAUUUUGUGUGCGACAAGUUUUAUUGGGGAUAGUAAAUUAUUAGACUGUGAGCUGAAGAUCAAGAUCGGCGUUGUAGACGGUUCUACUGAUGGAGAAGGAAUCUAGUGUGGUGUCGUGAUGCAAUUUAGUGGGACACCCAGGAACUUGCUGAAUCACACCCACUCAUUCUUGUCGGCUGGAAUGAGAUUAUUGGUGUAAUUUUGUUCUUAUACUGCAUUUAUUUUUGCAAAAAUUUUAAUGAACAAACACUGGGAUCUUUUGUGUCACAUGAUGGAACCAUCAAGUUGGGGCAGCAGCUGCGUGUCUAUAUAUUUUUGUGCAUCAAUAGGUGCAUAUAUGCAUAUGGAUAUGUAUGCAACAGUAAACAAUUUUCUUUCUAACCACUUAUUCAAUGUAGGAUUCAUUUUAAUGGACUUUAUUACGAGAUGAGUCCAAGCUUUUGAUCUGGUCAAUUAGCGCGGGUUCAGUUUGAUUAA